rnacentral:rRNA from 1 species
GAUCCUGGCUCAGGACGAACGCUGGCGGCGUGCCUAAUACAUGCAAGUCGAGCGGACCGACGGGAGCUUGCUCCCUUAGGUCAGCGGCGGACGGGUGAGUAACACGUGGGUAACCUGCCUGUAAGACUGGGAUAACUCCGGGAAACCGGGGCUAAUACCGGAUGCUUGAUUGAACCGCAUGGUUCAAUCAUAAAAGGUGGCUUUUAGCUACCACUUACAGAUGGACCCGCGGCGCAUUAGCUAGUUGGUGAGGUAACGGCUCACCAAGGCGACGAUGCGUAGCCGACCUGAGAGGGUGAUCGGCCACACUGGGACUGAGACACGGCCCAGACUCCUACGGGAGGCAGCAGUAGGGAAUCUUCCGCAAUGGACGAAAGUCUGACGGAGCAACGCCGCGUGAGUGAUGAAGGUUUUCGGAUCGUAAAACUCUGUUGUUAGGGAAGAACAAGUACCGUUCGAAUAGGGCGGUACCUUGACGGUACCUAACCAGAAAGCCACGGCUAACUACGUGCCAGCAGCCGCGGUAAUACGUAGGUGGCAAGCGUUGUCCGGAAUUAUUGGGCGUAAAGCGCGCGCAGGCGGUUUCUUAAGUCUGAUGUGAAAGCCCCCGGCUCAACCGGGGAGGGUCAUUGGAAACUGGGGAACUUGAGUGCAGAAGAGGAGAGUGGAAUUCCACGUGUAGCGGUGAAAUGCGUAGAGAUGUGGAGGAACACCAGUGGCGAAGGCGACUCUCUGGUCUGUAACUGACGCUGAGGCGCGAAAGCGUGGGGAGCGAACAGGAUUAGAUACCCUGGUAGUCCACGCCGUAAACGAUGAGUGCUAAGUGUUAGAGGGUUUCCGCCCUUUAGUGCUGCAGCAAACGCAUUAAGCACUCCGCCUGGGGAGUACGGUCGCAAGACUGAA